UACGUAGGGGGCAAGCGUUGUCCGGAAUCAUUGGGCGUAAAGCGCGUGUAGGCGGCCGAUCAAGUCCGAUGUGAAAGCUCGAGGCUCAACCUCGAGUCUGCAUUGGAAACUGCUCGGCUAGAGUCCGGAAGAGGAGACUGGAAUUCCUGGUGUAGCGGUGAAAUGCGCAGAUAUCAGGAAGAACACCGGUGGCGAAGGCGGGUCUCUGGGACGGUACUGACGCUGAGACGCGAAAGCGUGGGGAGCAAACAGG
rnacentral:rRNA from 1 species